rnacentral:rRNA from 1 species
GAUGAACGCUGGCGGCGUGCCUAAUACAUGCAAGUCGAGCGAACGGACGAGAAGCUUGCUUCUCUGAUGUUAGCGGCGGACGGGUGAGUAACACGUGGAUAACCUACCUAUAAGACUGGGAUAACUUCGGGAAACCGGAGCUAAUACCGGAUGAUAUUUUGAACCGCAUGGUUCAAAAGUGAAAGACGGUCUUGCUGUCACUUAUAGAUGGAUCCGCGCUGCAUUAGCUAGUUGGUAAGGUAACGGCUUACCAAGGCAACGAUGCAUAGCCGACCUGAGAGGGUGAUCGGCCACACUGGAACUGAGACACGGUCCAGACUCCUACGGGAGGCAGCAGUAGGGAAUCUUCCGCAAUGGGCGAAAGCCUGACGGAGCAACGCCGCGUGAGUGAUGAAGGUCUUCGGAUCGUAAAACUCUGUUAUUAGGGAAGAACAAAUGUGUAAGUAACUGUGCACAUCUUGACGGUACCUAAUCAGAAAGCCACGGCUAACUACGUG